UGCUGGUCGAGCGAGUUCAGACUCGCGGCGCAUAGCUCAGUAACACGUGGCCAAGCUCCCCUUCAGUCAGCGAUACCCUCGGGAAACUGAGGCUAAUAGCUGAUACUCGACGCCAGCUGGAAUGCGGCGUCGUCGAAAGACAUCGCUGAAGGAUGCGGCUGCGGCCGAUUAGGUAGACGGUGGGGUAACGGCCCACCGUGCCAGUAAUCGGUACGGGUGAUGAGAGUCAGAGCCCGGAGACGGAAUCUGAGACAAGAUUCCGGGCCCUACGGGGCGCAGCAGGCGCGAAACCUUUACACUGCACGGAAGUGCGAUAGGGGAAUCCCAAGUGCGAGGGCAUAUUAGCCCUCGCUUUUGUUGACUGUAAGGUGGUCAACGAAUAAGAGCUGGGCAAGACCGGUGCCAGCCGCCGCGGUAAUACCAGCACCUCAAGUGGUCAGGAUGAUUAUUGGGCCUAAAGCAUCCGUAGCUCGUUUUGUAAGUUUUCGGUUAAAUCCAUACGCUUAACGUAUGGGCUGCCGGGAAUACUGCAUAACUAGGAAGUGGGAGAGGUAGACGGUACUCGGUAGGAAGGGGUAAAAUCCUUUGAUCUAUUGAUGACCACCUGUGGCGAAGGCGGUCUACCAGAACACGUUCGACGGUGAGGGAUGAAAGCUGGGGGAGCAAACCGGAUUAGAUACCCGGGUAGUCCCAGCUGUAAACUAUGCAAACUCAGUGAUGCAUUGGCUUGUGGCCAAU
rnacentral:rRNA from 1 species